UACGUAGGGGGCAAGCGUUUGUUCGGAUUACUGGGCGUAAAGGGCGCGUAGGCGGCCAGCGCAAGUCAGUUGUGAAAUCUCCGGGCUUAACUCGGAAAGGUCAACUGAUACUGCGCGGCUAGAGUGCAGAAGGGGCAACUGGAAUUCUCGGUGUAGCGGUGAAAUGCGUAGAUAUCGAGAGGAACACCUGCGGCGAAGGCGGGUUGCUGGGCUGACACUGACGCUGAUGCGCGAAAGCCAGGGGAGCGAACGGG
rnacentral:rRNA from 1 species